rnacentral:lncRNA from 1 species
UAUGGGGUUCGCUGGCUCCGCCUUGGAGGCGAAGGCGGGGGCGAUGCGGGGAGGGGAGGGGAGGGGAGGGGAGGGGCGCGGGGGGUGGGGGCGAAAAAAAAAUCAAUCAAGAAGAGCUGGCAGGCAGGACUGAGAUUUUAGUAAUCGUCUUGGCCGCGUCUCAGUGGAAGCUUUGUGCUUCUUGGAGGCUGAGGGGACCAGAAAUGUCCGAUGCGUUCAACAAUAUUGACAGGGAGAAGAGCACAGGAAAGAAGGAGGCAAGGAGUGUGAGGACACUUCACCGGAAUUCUCACUUGUGUAGGAGAAGUAAAUAAAAUAAACUUGCCUCAAAAAAGGCACAGCACACCCAACCUAAGCAAACUAAAAAGCUUUGGUUCAGCAAGUGAAAGUGACUCAGUCAUGCCGACUCUUUGUGACCCUAUGGACUAUACUAGUCCACAGAAUUCUCUAGGCCAGAAUACUGGAGUGGGUAUCCUUUCCUUCUCCAGGGGAUCUUCCCAACCCAGGGAUGGAAACCAGGUCUCCCGCAUUGCGGGGAGAUUCCUAACCAGCUGAGCCACAAGGGAAGCCCAAGAGUACUGGAGUGGGUAGCCUAUCCCUUCUCCAGGAGAUCUUCCCAACCCAAGAAUUGAACUGGAGUCUCCUGCAUUGCAGGUGGAUUCUUUACCAACUGAGCUCUCAGGGAAGCCCCUUGUUCAUCAAAGGAAAUCGUAAAUAAAACAAAAAGACAACCUACA